CUACCAGGGUUUCUAAUCCCAUUCGCUCCCCUAGCUUUCGUCCAAGAGUGUCAGUUGCGGCCCAGUAGAGCGCUUUCGCCACCGGUGUUCUUCCCAAUCUCUACGCAUUUCACCGCUACACUGGGAAUUCCCUCUACCCCUACCGCACUCUAGCCUUGCAGUUUCCCUUGCCUUUCCUCAGUUGAGCUGAGGUCUUUGACAACCGACUUGCCGGGCCACCUACGGACGCUUUACGCCCAAUUAUUCCGGAUAACGCUUGCCUCCUCCGUAUUACCGCGGCUGCUGGCAC
rnacentral:rRNA from 1 species